rnacentral:misc_RNA from 1 species
UAUAUAUAUAUAUAUAUAUAUACUCUGCACCGUCCUUCCUCACUCUUCCAGGAAGAGUCUUCUUCCUCCCAAGCCUUUUCUGUUUCCUCAUUUGCGCUGUCUUUGGUCUUCUUCUUCUUAGGUCAUCGUCUUGUUCUUUGCGAGUUAGGUUGACUGGUUGAGGCCCCUGCAGCCUCUUCUUCUCACAGCCUCGCCAAAAGUGGCCCAACACCCAGCAUCCCCUCACGCUCAUGAACUCGCCUGCCACCCCCACCCAUCGUGACCUUGUCUUCAGAUUUGCCCCUCACCUGCAGCCAUUCGCAUCCCCUCCCCUGAAGCUCUGCAGCUCAUGGCCUCUCAUCAUGACCUCACCUAUGAAUCCGAGCCCUGCAGGCAGGGCCUUCCUCCAUUGCAGCGAUGCAGCCCAUGCAUGUUUAGUAUUUUGUAUUGUUUAGAUUCAAUUUGUCUUGUAUGAGGCUUAGGGUUUGUUGAUUUUAUUUUUUAAUUGUUCAGAAGUCAGAACUUCAGAUGUUGAUUGCAUUGUGAAAUUACAAAUUUAAGUUUGUUGUUAUUUUUUCUAUUGAACAUCAGCUAUGUUGAAAUUUCUUCUUGUUCUUGAAAUUUUGAAGUUGAGAAUAAAUGAAUAAAUCAGCUUUCUUCCUCUUCUUUAAUGUGUAUGUGUUUUUUAUUUUGAAUGUGAAAUUAUGAAUCUAAACUGUGAAUUCUUAUUUGAAACUGUAAAUUGUGAAUCUAAACCAAUCCAAUGAACCAAAUUAACUGAAAUUAUUCAGUUCAAUUCGGUUCGGCAUAUAUGCUAUAAUCAGUUUGGUUCAGUUUUCAAUUUUUCAAUAAUUAACCAAACCGACUGUUUGCUCACUCAUACAUAUAAACAAAUAGCAAAAUCCAUGAUGGAACAUGAGAAAACUAAGUAGCAAGCUAGAAUGAUUAGGAACAGAAAUGCCACUACAAAAGAGUAAAUUUACAUGGCGUCCUGGAUGCCAUAACAGUAAAUUAUGCAACAGAACACAAAAUGCAACACUGCUUACCUGUAUGGUAUAUGUUUGUGUGUUUGAAGAUCCUUGUAUUUUUUUGCAAGGCCAUAAUCAAUGAUGUAGACCUGAUUUGCUUUACGCCCUAAACCCAUUAAAAAGUUGUCAGGCUUU